rnacentral:rRNA from 1 species
GAUGAACGCUGGCGGCGUGCUUAACACAUGCAAGUCGAACGGAAAGGCUCCUGCUUGCAGGGGUACUCGAGUGGCGAACGGGUGAGUAACACGUGGGUGAUCUGCCCUGCACUUCGGGAUAAGCCUGGGAAACUGGGUCUAAUACCGGAUAGGACCACAUUUUGGAUGGUGUGGUGGAAAGUUUUUCGGUGUGGGAUGAGCUCGCGGCCUAUCAGCUUGUUGGUGGGGUAAUGGCCUACCAAGGCGUCGACGGGUAGCCGGCCUGAGAGGGUGUACGGCCACAUUGGGACUGAGAUACGGCCCAGACUCCUACGGGAGGCAGCAGUGGGGAAUAUUGCACAAUGGGCGCAAGCCUGAUGCAGCGACGCCGCGUGGGGGAUGACGGCCUUCGGGUUGUAAACUCCUUUCGCUAGGGACGAAGCGCAAGUGACGGUACCUGGAGAAGAAGCACCGGCUAUCUACGUG